rnacentral:rRNA from 1 species
ACGGAAGGCAGCAGUGGGGAAUAUUGCACAAUGGGCGAAAGCCUGAUGCAGCGACGCCGCGUGAGUGAAGAAGUAUCUCGGUAUGUAAAGCUCUAUCAGCAGGGAAGAAAAUGACGGUACCUGACUAAGAAGCCCCGGCUAACUACGUGCCAGCAGCCGCGGUAAUACGUAGGGGGCAAGCGUUAUCCGGAUUUACUGGGUGUAAAGGGAGCGUAGACGGUUUGGCAAGUCUGAAGUGAAAUGCGGGGGCUCAACUCCUGAACUGCUUUGGAAACUGUCGAACUAGAGUGCAGGAGAGGUAAGUGGAGUUCCUAGUGUAGCGGUGAAAUGCGUAGAUAUUAGGAGGAACACCAGUGGCGAAGGCGGCUUACUGGACUGUAACUGACGUUGAGGCUCGAAAGCGUGGGGAGCAAACAGGAUUAGAUACCCUGGUA